rnacentral:lncRNA from 1 species
AGAGAGGGAUCUGGUAGAAGAAGAGAGGAUGCGAAGGGAGCGAGAUAAGAGAGGGUGGCGAAGGCGCGAGAGUGCCAUAUGCGUCGAUCAAUUCGAUUCGAUUCAGAAGAGAAGAGAGAAGACACCACCAAAUUGAAAUUCUUCUCCGGUUAGUUACUUUGUCUGAGUAGAAUACAAUUCUGAUCACGCGAGCCAGGGGUAGGUGUGUAUUUGUUGAUUAAGUGUACACACACGUGCGCACUGCACCCGUGCCAGCCACCGUUAGCGGCGUUCUCCACACCGGUCAUUUUAUUUUGUAACUUUUCAAUAAUUUUACUAAAUUAUCACAUAAACAACAUUUUUAUUUUUUUUUAACUUUCAAGGCCAAGUUCGUCAAUAAAUUCGCAUAUAUAAAGGUUUCUUUUGAAUCAAAUUUAAUUUGACUAUUUGCUCAUAUAUAAUCUAAGUAAUUAUUUAAGUUGCUUAUAUAAUAGUCUUUUUAUUCUAAUAUUUCUUCUGAGUGAUUUUGUUCUUGCCAAUAAAUUUAGGUUGGGUAGAAGUGGUUUUCAGAUCAACCUUUUAAGAUUGUAGCUUUGAGAUACUUGAUGAUCACAAUGAGAGGAACUUCACCGGUUGACAAGAC